GAGCGUAGGCGGACAAUUAAGUCAGAUGUGAAAGCCCGGAGCUCAACUCUGGAAUUGCAUCUGGAAACUGGUUGUCUAGAGUACAGGAGAGGAGAGUAGAAUUCCUGGUGUAGAGGUGAAAUUCGCUGAUAUCAGGAGGAAUACCUGUGGCGAAGGCGGCUCUCUGGUCUGAUGCUGACGCUGAGGCUCGAAAGUGUGGGGAGCAAACAGGAUUAGAUACCCUGGUAGUCCACAACUGUAAACGAUGAAUGCUCGACGUGUGUCCCGUUUUGCCGGAUGCGUGUCGCAGCGAAAGCGAUAAACACACCGCCUGGGGAGUACGACCGCAAGGUUAAAACUCAAAUGAAUUGACGGGGGACCCGCACAAGUAGUGGAGCAUGUGGUUUAAUUCGAAGAUACGCGCAGAACCUUACCAACACUUGACAUGUUCGUCGCGACUUUAAGAGAUUAAAGUUUUCGGUUCGGCCGGACGAAACACAGGUGCUGCAUGGCU
rnacentral:rRNA from 1 species